AUGUGAUUGAAAAUAAUUUAAAAUAUGAUGAUAAUUUGAUCAGAAUCCCUAACAGUCCCUUUUUCUGCAAGUCAUAACUGUGUUCUUCCCCACUUCGAACAAGAUAGAAGAUCUUCGGCAUGAAUUCCCUCCUUUUUCAUCGAUCGGAAUUUCUUCGUUUCUCCAUUUUGUUCAGCGUAUUUCUUUUCCAUCGAUUAUAGGUAUGCAUUCCUAGGGUUGUACGGAUCUAGGUUCCGUGUAUUUGUCCAUUUUUGUA
rnacentral:lncRNA from 1 species